rnacentral:tmRNA from 1 species
GGGGACGUUUUGGAUUUGACAGGAUGUUCGGUGAAAACAGGUUGCGGGUCCGAGCGCUGUUCUCGGUUAUCAACGAGCAAAACAAAUUAAAUGCUAACAAUGUAAUUAAAGCAGACUUCUCUAGAGCACAAGCUUUAGCAGCUUAGUCGCAAAUUAUAGCUACUCAUAGAGCCCAGCUUGCCGGUUUUAUGGGUCCAUUAUGCAAGCGGCAGUGCGUUGAUGACGGUAGACGUAUCAAGUAAACCGUUAAAGGUUAGUGUUUCCGCAAAAAACACUUUGGAUUAUUUUAAAGGUAAUGAUAUUCCCUGAAUAAUCCGAGAGAAUAAAUAUCUACACUCGUAGAAGCUUGUUUUAAUCCAUUUUGGACAGGGGUUCGACUCCCCUCGUCUCCAU